rnacentral:lncRNA from 1 species
CUCCUCUCUCUCCUUUCUUUCUUUCUUUCUUUCUUUCUUUCUUUCUUUCUUUCUUUCUUUCUUUCUUUCUUUCUUUCUUUCUUUCUUUCUUUCUUUCUCUUUCACUCUUACUAUUCCUUCUUCCUUUCUUCCUUUCCCUUCCUUUCUUCCUUUCUCUUCCUUCCUUCCUUUCUCUUCCUUCCUUCCUUUCUCUUCCUUCCUUCCUUCGUUCCUUCCUUCCUUCCUUCCUUCCAUACAUACUUCCUUCCUUCCUUCCUUCCUUCCCUCAGGCAAAGGACAAAGGGUAGACAACUAAGGUUAAGUGACUUAACCAGAGUUGUACAGCUAGGGUGUAUCUGAGGACAAAUUUGAACCCACAUCUUCCCAACUCCAGACCUAGUGCUUUAUCCACUGAGGUCCUCCCUUAUUUCUUAUCACACUCUUUCCCCCUGAGCAUAUUCUUUCUAUUGGCAGCCCCCAUUUAUCCAGAUACUUCAUCUUGGCCCAUUCCUCUGUUCCUAAAUUCUGGUUUGUCAGUUCAAGUCUUCCUCCUUCUAUAUACUUAACUAGUUUCCAGAGCUUUGUUGGGGGGGGGGGGGUUUGGAGUCAUCGUCCCUGAAAACACUCUGAUAGAAAAGGUUAUUUGUUAUUUAUGCAUACUUGGAUGAAGGUUAAAGUGAGAUGCUGUGCUAGGAUAGCACAUAGAUGUCCCAUCUGUUC